UGAGGUGUCCUUCCUCUGUGGGCAGCCUGAAUGAUCUGCUGAGAGAAUCUGGGGCAUUUCUUGGAAUAUGCAUGUGGAUGGAGAAAUGCUUUCUGCUGAGUAGUUCACAGGGAAGUUGGCGUCACAAGGGCAAGGUCAUCUCCAGCACUGCUGGUAAUGUUUCUUGCAGGCCAGGAUUUCUUGGCAGCUAGUCCUGCUGCAUCUUCCCUUGGGAGACCGCUCACUUUGAUAGCUCAAACUGUGCCAUGCUUGGGUAGAGGAGAGAUUACAGGUCUGCAGCUAUGAAGCCUUUAUAUACUAAAUGAGAGUUCUUGUUCCUAUUGCUGCUUUUAUUGAGCUGCUCAGGUAUCCAGAACUAAGGCCUCAGAGGUGCCUGAGGGCUGGGGGUGUUCUCAGGGCCUGCUCUGCUCCCUGGCUGGUCAGGCUCUGCCCUGCCACCCCUGGGGAGAUGUAGGCUCCCUGACCCGUGGGGACAAGUGGCUGCUGAGUGCCAGGGCCACACAUGAACCUUUCACUGCUGGAACACACCGAUGAGUUUAGCUGCCUCCUCUUCGUCCUGGACGUGAUACGGUGCCUUGAAGCCACUCUGGCGUGAGAAGAAGGCUGGGAACUCCCUUGACUCCCCAAAGGCAGCCACACAGACUCCCUGAGUCUCCUGCAGCGGGGAGGAAGCUAGGAUGGAGACAAGACUGAAUGAAACACAAAUUUACAGGACAUCAAUAAAUAAGAGCUAAUCUUUGGGGGGAAUUCAGAAAUGACUCUAUGCAGACUAAAACUGUGUUUCAUGUGACUGAAAUAUUUGCAAAACCCAACCAAACAACAAAAAAAUGCUACAAUUAAUACAAAUAAUAAUUCUUAUCACCAUCACUCAGUGUUCCUCUCCCACCGCUAUUGCAGCUGUGUUGUUAUUGGCCCCAGUAACAUUACUUUAAAUGGCCAUUACUGUGAAUGAAGUGAGCUCUGCAAUCAUGCCCAGAGAAUAACGUGUUAAAAGAGUGGAAGCACCAAGGAUACUAUAAUAACCCAAUAUCUUAUAAGACUAUUAUGCAUCAAAAUUUCUCCUAAUUUUAAUGUCUUUAUCAAAUAACAGAAACUCCCUGUGCAUUUAGGAUUUGAAGUAUCCUUCCAAAAGCUGAAAAUACCACUCUUUGCUUUUCUCCCACAACACUGCCAGCAAGCUUUCUGCUGCAUUCAGGUGAUGAAGAUGCUUUUCGCCCAGGGAGUGUUUCAGAAUACACUACUCACCAUGCAGAAAUCUUCUCACCUGGGUGGUCCUACAUGCCACAGUGGACACACAUCUUCCCAAUCUACAGGUUAUCUUUGUAAUCAUCUUGUGCAUAAGGAUGGUCCUGAGAUUACAAAAGUCAGGUAAAAAAAAAUAAAGAAAUAAUUAAGCAAAGAUAUGACAGUAUACCUAACAUUUCUUGCACUAAUUUUGGAAACUGAACAAUUGUGGGCUUGCCCAGGAGAUUGUGUGGCAGUUCCUGGUGUUUCAAGCAUGAGCCCUGCUGUCAAAGCAAAAUGUUAAACUGUCGAAGUAGAGUUGUAACAGUCCA